UGUUCUGUGGCGGAGUUGGUUAACGCGCCCUGUCUAGCGAACUUGGGGAGACGUGGGUUUAAAUCCCACCAGAACUA
rnacentral:tRNA from 1 species